CCUACGGGAGGCUGCAGUCGAGAAUCAUUCACAAUGGGGGAAACCCUGAUGGUGCGACGCCGCGUGGGGGAAUGAAGGUCUUCGGAUUGUAAACCCCUGUCAUGUGGGAGCAAAUGACAAAGAUAGUACCACAAGAGGAAGAGACGGCUAACCCUGUGCCAGCAGCCGCGGGAAUACGGAGGUCGCAAUCGUGGUUCGGAAUCACUGGGCGUAACGUGUGCGUAGGCUGUUUCGUAAGUCGUGAGUGAAAGGCGCGGGCUCAACCCGCGGACGGCACAUGAUACUGCGAGACUGGAGUAGGGGAGGGGGAAGCGGAAUUCUCGGUGUAGCAGUGAAAUGCGUAGAUAUCGAGAGGAACACUCGUGGCGAAGGCGGGUUCCUGGACAUUAACUGACGCUGAGGCACGAAGGCCAGGGGAGCGAAAGGGAUUAGAUACCCUUGUAGUC
rnacentral:rRNA from 1 species